UUAAUAAUUAUUAAUUAAUUUUUUUUUUAAAAAAAUUUAAAUAUUAAAAAUAAUUAUAAAAUAUAAUGUUUAAGUAUUUUGUAAAGAAAAAAUAAUUUUAAUAAUAGUUUAUUAGUAUUGUAAAAUAAAAUUGAAAUAAAAUGAAAAAUUUUUGUUUUAAAAGAAAAUUUUAUUUAUUGUAUCUUGUGUAUCAGAGUAUAUUAAAUAAAUAAUAUAUAAAAUAUUUUUCUCGAUUUUAAAAGAUUUAAUAAAUUAUGAAUGUUAAUGUGAUAAAAUUAUAUUUAAUAAUUUAUUGGAAAUGAAAUGUUAUUCGUUUUUAAAGGUAUCUAGUUUUUUAAGAAAUAAAUUUAAUUUAGUAUUCAAAAUUUAUUAAUUUAAUUUAUUAAUUUAUUAAUUUUUGAGUAUAAAUAUUUUAUGGGAUAAGCUAUAAAAUAAAUUUUUAUAAAUAAUAAAUAAUAAUUAAAAUUUUAUAUGUUUAAAAGUAUCAAUUUAUGUUAAGUUUGUUAUAAAUUAAUUUUUUUAAUAAAUUAUUUAUUUAAUUUUAAUUUUUUAUUAAAAUAUUUAUUUAAAUAAUAAAAAUAAAGAAAUAAUGAUAUAAUUAGUAUAUUUAUUUUGUAAUUUUAUAUUUAAAAAUGAAAAGUUUAUAUAAAGAAUUCGGCAAAAAUAAUGUUCGCCUGUUUAACAAAAACAUGUCUUUUAGAAAUUAAUUUAAAGUCUGACCUGCCCACUGAUUUUUUUAAAUGGCCGCAGUAUAUUAACUGUGCAAAGGUAGCAUAAUCAUUAGUCUUUUAAUUGAAGGCUGGAAUGAAUGGUUGGACGAAAUAUUAACUGUUUCAUUUAAAUUUAUAAUAAAAUUUUAUUUUUUAGUUAAAAAGCUAAAAUAUAUUUAAAAGACGAGAAGACCCUAUGAAUCUUAAUAUAAUUUAUAUUUUAAUUUUGUAGAUUAUUUUAAUUAUGAUAUUAUUUUUAUAUUUUAUUGGGGUGAUAUUAAAAUUUAAAAAACUUUUAAUUUUGAAUUCAUUAAUUUAUGAAUAAUUGAUCCAUUUUUAGUGAUUAAAAAUUUAAGUUACUCUAGGGAUAACAGCGUAAUUUUUUUGGAGAGUUCUUAUCGAUAAAAAAGAUUGCGACCUCGAUGUUGGAUUAAGAGAUAAUUUUAGGUGUAGCCGUUUAAAUUUAAAGUCUGUUCGACUUUUAGAAUCUUACAUGAUCUGAGUUCAAACCGGUGUAAGCCAGGUUGGUUUCUAUCUUUAAUAAAUUAAUAUAUUUUAGUACGAAAGGAUUGAAUAUAUAAAUAAUUUUAUUUUAUUUAAUUAAGAAUAUUAAUAAUUGAUUUAUAA
rnacentral:rRNA from 1 species